UCAUUUGACCACGCUAUUUCGUCUGAAGUGACAGCUUUAUUCCGUCACACUAGUCCAACUGGCAUGUUAGAUCCCUUGCCACACCAUAGUUUUAUUCAGCUACACAAGGUGGAGCAGCGUGAUCAAAAGAUUCAUUUAUGAAAAUAAAAUUUAGUGAAGUUUAGUUUUGAAAUUUAUAGAUGAAAACGUUUAGAAGAUAAAAAAAAUCACUCUUCACCUGCACGGUCUAGCUGGGAUUGUAAGAAAUAUUAAAUUGAAAAUAUUUCUGACGAUCCAGAAUUUUCUCUUUUACCUUUACACCCUA
rnacentral:lncRNA from 1 species